AAGUAUAUUAUCAUAGUGUUUGAAGUAUUUUAGAUAUCUGACAAAUAUCAGCUGUUAUUAUGAACUAGUAGAGUUCCUAGAUCAUGGAGCAGAUAUCAGGAACUCAUGAAUAUUUUUCUUUAUUUCUGGAAUUGAGGUUCACUUCAAGUUUAACUUUUUAAUAUUUAUUCAUUGAUUAUCAUAAACUUCAAACUCUGAAGCUUUUCCACUGUAGCAGUCCAUAAAUGAUAAUAAUCAAAGGGCAACCAUCUCCAUGCUUAUAUAUAAGAACUUCUACCA